rnacentral:rRNA from 1 species
CAAUAGCGUAUAUUAAAAUUGUUGCGGUUAAACGCUCGUAGUUGGAUAUUUGUCAAGGACUGCCGGUCUACCCUAGUGGUCAGCACUCGGUAUGUCCUAGGCAUUUUCCUGGAGACAGUGUUCGUACUUAAUUGUAUGGCACAUGAACCAGAACUUUACUUUGAGGAAAUGAGAGUGUUUCAAGCAGGCGUACGUCGUGAAUACGUUAGCAUGGAAUAAUAGCAUAGGACCCGCUCGUGAAGCUGUUGGUUUUUGGGCCGAGGUAAUGAAAAUAGGGGAUAGUUGGGGCAUUGCGUAUUAAUACUGUCAGAGGUGAAAUUCUUGGAUUUUUAAGACGGACUACUGCGAAAGCAUCUGCCCAGGAUGUUUU